GUCCACGCUGUAAACGAUGAUCACUAGAUGUUGGUUUGGUUCGCCGAAUCAGUGUCGAAGCUAACGCGUUAAGUGAUCCGCCUGGGAAGUACGGUCGCAAGAUUAAAACUCAAAGAAAUUGACGGGGGCCCGCACAAGCGGUGGAACAUGUGGUUUAAUUCGACACUACGCGAGGAACCUUACCUAGGCUUGACAUGUAACUGCUACUGGUGGAAACAUUGGGUUUUGUAGUAAUACAAACGGUUACACAGGUGCUGCAUGGCUGUCGU
rnacentral:rRNA from 1 species